GUGGGGAAUAUUGGACAAUGGGGGGAACCCUGAUCCAGCCAUGCCGCGUGUGUGAAGAAGGCCUUUUGGUUGUAAAGCACUUUAAGCGAGGAGGAGGCUACCGAGAUUAAUACUCUUGGAUAGUGGACGUUACUCGCAGAAUAAGCACCGGCUAACUCUGUGCCAGCAGCCGCGGUAAUACAGAGGGUGCAAGCGUUAAUCGGAUUUACUGGGCGUAAAGCGCGCGUAGGUGGCCAAUUAAGUCAAAUGUGAAAUCCCCGAGCUUAACGUGGGAAUUGCAUUCGAUAGUGGUUGGCUAGAGUAUGGGAGAGGAUGGUAGAAGUCCAGGUGUAGCGGUGAAAUGCGUAGAGAUCUGGAGGAAUACCGAUGGCGAAGGCAGCCAUCUGGCCUAAUACUGACACUGAGGUGCGAAAGCAUGGGGAGCAAACAGGAUUAGAUACCCGAGUAGUCC
rnacentral:rRNA from 1 species